UAAAGGCCAUACCACCCUGAACACGCCCAAUCUCGUCUGAUCUUGGAAGCUAAGCAGGGUCGGGCCUGGUUAGUACUUGGGUGGGAGAAACACUUCAAGUGCUGCUUCAG
rnacentral:rRNA from 1 species